rnacentral:pre_miRNA from 1 species
AAACUACUCCCUUCGUCCCGAAAUUCUUGUCUUAAAUUUGUCUAGAUACAGAUGUAUUUAACACUAAAAUGUAACUAGAUACAUCCAUAUUUAGACAAACCUAAGACAAGAAUUUUGGGACGGAGGGAGUAGUAC